GAUGAAGAACGUAGUGAAAUGCGAUAAGUAAUGUGAAUUGCAGAAUUCAGUGAACCAUCGAAUCUUUGAACGCACAUUGCGCCCGGCAGUAAUCUGCCGGGCAUGCCUGUCCGAGCGUCAUUUCUACCCCCGAGCGAGUCCAGCAUCUAGGUGCUGGGCCUCGCCCGGCGUUGGAGCACUACGGGAAGCCCUGUGCUGUCCCCCGUAGGCCCCGAAAUGAAGUGGCGGUCCUGCCGCGGCGCCCCCUGCGUAGUAUAACAGCUCGCUUCGGGACCCGGUGGAGGCCUGCCGUCAAACCUAUACUCUCUAAGUUUGACCUCGGAUCAGGUAGGGUUACCCGCUGAACUUAAGCAUAUCAAUAAGCGGAGGA
rnacentral:misc_RNA from 1 species